UGGAUUGAACGGUUGGACGGGAAGAGAGCUGUCUUGUGUAGCUAGGAAUGAACUUGACUUUUAUGUGAAAAGGCAUAAAUGUAUUGGGGGGACGAUAAGACCCUGUAAAACUUAAUGAUUUGGCUGGGUCUUUGAAUUAGGGUUUAAUAAGGGCUUGGGUAAAAUUAUUUUGCUGGGGAGGUAAGGAUAAAAUUGGAUUAACUGUUAUGAAAUGGAAAUAAAGAUAAUUAGGUGGUGACCCUUAAUUUAGGUUUAAGAGUUUAAGUUACUUCAGGGAUAACAGCGUAAUUUCUCUUGAGAGUUCAUAUCGACAGAGAUAGUUGCGACCUCGAUGUUGAAUUUGGAACUUCCUGUAGGA
rnacentral:rRNA from 1 species